AUACCCCGCCCUAGCGCUCCCCUCGCCUUGGAGCAUGAUUCCGCAGCGCCGGAGGGAGGGUCAGGCCAGGCCAGGCCAGGCUCUGCCAAGUUUCGUGUCGCACUGAGGGAAAGGGCGAUCGCGCCCCGCCCAGCACGGAGUCCUGACAAAGCACUGCACGGUGGAGUGUGUUGUCAUGGGCAGCCGCAGCGAGAACCACUGAGCUGUGGAGACACGUGGGAGCUGGAGCCGAGGGACAGACCCCUCCAAGACCCCGCUGUGGGGCAGGACGUGUGUGCGUCCUGCACAGAAAUCGUGUGUCACACACGUGGGUUGGCUGUCUCGUAUGUGUCCGCACUGUGAGCCUGCUGCUCAACUUUAACUUCUUUUUGCUGCUUCCCGAGAAGAGCAGAAACAAAUAAUUAGAGAUGUGAAACUAUCAAAUCAGUAGAUAUUCUCCCAAAGAUCAGGGCCGGCUCCAGCUUUUUUGCCACCCCAAGCGAAGGAAAAAACAAAAAAACCAAGCCUGGUUGAGCUGCCACCGAAGAGGAAGAGAGAGACUGCAGGGCCCGCCGCCGAAUUGCCGCCAAAGACCUGGACGUGCCGCCCCGAUGACGGACAGAGUGCUGCCCCUUUCUAUUGGCCGCCCCAGGCACCCGCUUCCUUCGCUGGUGCCUGGAGCCGGCCCUGCCAAGGAUUCAGUCUUUGACGGAACAGCUGGUUUUCAGACAAAACCAGGAUCCAAAUUUUCAUGAAUAUCCCUACACUCUUCCAGUGGUUUCGUCAGUAUAUGGAUUCCAAGAUGGCUUUUUGCUUGUCCUUAUGCAGUACUGAAGUGUAGUACUUGGUAGUAUUUAAGUAAGCCAAUAUAAGCAAUACAAGGAAGAAGUUUAUAAGGGAGGGGUAUACAGCUCCCAAAAAUUGGAUCUAAUUCUUAGCCUGUACGCUGUAUCCAAAAAACAAACAUUAAAAAUGUGGUGUGAUGUUAUUGACA